rnacentral:piRNA from 1 species
UGGCAGAAAGUUCACAGAUGUAUGUCCUCA